rnacentral:tRNA from 1 species
UGGAGCGGUGUCCGAGUGGUUGAAGGAGGCGGUCUUGAAAACCGUUGUGCCGCAAGGUACCGGGGGUUCGAAUCCCCCCUGCUCCGA